UUCAAAUCCCCUCAGGAGAGAGGAAACUGAAAUCCGCACCCGCUGGCUCCACACAUAGAGUUUUGGAGUCAAAUAGUUGUUGAAAAUCAGUAAUGUCCGCAUCUUGAAUUUCAAAGCCGAACCAACUCCUGAUGG